rnacentral:rRNA from 1 species
GCUUGCACUUUGCUGACGACCGGCGCACGGGUGCGUAACGCGUAUAGAACCUACCUUUUACUGGAGAAUAGCCCAGAGAAAUUUGGAUUAAUGCUCCAUAGCAUCAUUUUUUGGCAUCAUUAGAUGAUUAAAGAUUUAUCGGUAAAAGAUGGCUAUGCGUUCUAUUAGCUAGUUGGUAUGGUAACGGCAUACCAAGGCGACGAUAGAUAGGGGUCCUGAGAGGGAGAUCCCCCACACUGGUACUGAGACACGGACCAGACUCCUACGGGAGGCAGCAGUGAGGAAUAUUGGACAAUGGAGGCAACUCUGAUCCAGCCAUGCCGCGUGUAGGAAGACUGCCCUAUGGGUUGUAAACUACUUUUAUAGAGGAAGAAACCGCUCUACGUGUAGAGCUCUGACGGUACUCUACGAAUAAGGAUCGGCUAACUCCGUGCCAGCAGCCGCGGUAAUACGGAGGAUCCAAGCGUUAUCCGGAAUC